UUGUUAACUUUUAAAAUCUAAAGAAGUAUAGUUUGACCUUAAUAUCCUAUUGACUUUUUGAAUUAACAUAUAACCAUCAAUUAUAAGGUUCUAUGGCAAUUACAUUUCCAUUAUCUAUUGAGAUCACUUGUUCAUGCGAACUAUUAGGGGAUGGGGUGGUCACUAGUGAUACAAUUCUAUCACUACCAAGCACCAAUCAACUCAUGCCAUGUCAUCACCCAAUAUUCUAUCACUAGUGAUAGAAAUGUAGUGCGGGUGGUUACUAGUGAUAGAAAAUAGCUAUUUAAAAAUAGCUAACAAAAGUUGAGGGGCUAAAUUUGAACUUUUCAUCAAAGUUCUAUUAAUUCAAUCUCUGCAAAACAAAUACGACAAAACAAUCUCUGCAAAUUCGUUCCAAUUUUGCGUUACAAAAAUCACGCGUUAUAAGCUUGCCAGCGGCGGUGUUCGUUGUUGUUUCACGUGUGAUGGGGUGGCCAUCACGGACCACCCCGCCUCCCCUUAAGACAUUUGUCUUUCAGGUCACAUGUGUUAGGUUGAUGUUCACCAACAUAAAUACUGUCAAAUUUUUAAGAAACGAGAAAAGGGAAAACUAAGGACACAAAAUUAUAAUUUAUACACGAUUCAUACAACUGAAUUUUAAAUUUGAUACUAUUAAAUAGAUAGAAACUAAUAUAACAUAUAUGCAACUGAAUUAAUUGACACCCUUAAGUUUUAUAAAUUAGUCGUAAUGAAUUAAAUUCGCUUUAAUAUUUAAAACAGAAACUAAUGUAACAUAUAUGGAAUUGAGUUGAAUUGAAAGGACUUAAAAUGCCAAUAUAUUUUUAUAUGGAAAUUUAAAUUUAAAUCCCUUAUAUAUAUGGUUACUCCCUAUACAUUUUUGCUCACCACUGACCUUCUUCGACCUAUUUUGUGAUUCCCUUCUACAACCUAAGUAACUGAAGUUAUUGAUCCUGUGUUAAACGAAAACUCACCAUGGGAGGUUACAAAUAUGCCGCUGAUAUCGACUCCAUAACCAAAGCGCAAGAUGUAAUCAAGGUCCAUAUUCAUGUAACUCCGGUCUUGUCUUCAGCGUCCCUAAAUUCCAUUGCUGGGAAAUCACUAUAUUUCAAGUGUGAAUGCUUUCAAAAGAGGUAAGAGAGGUCUUCUACGUUAUCUUUAUCGAUCUAGAGGUGGUGAAAUGAACAUGUUAAUUUUUUAACGUAUUUUUGUUGAUGUUUAUCAGUGGAGCUUUUAAAUUCAGAGGUGCAUUAAACGCUGUCUUGUCUCUUGAUGAAGAAGAAGCAACAAAAGGAUUGUAACUCACAGCAGGUAAAAUAGGUGUAAUUUUACAAAUGAGGUCAGACAUACUAAAAAAUCAACAUGUGUUUAUAGCUAAUGACACAUACAUAAAAGAUUAAACUGCCAAAAUGGUCCCUAAGGUUUGGUUGGUUUUGUCACUUUAGUCCAAAACUAACCAAACCUUAGGGACCAUUUUGGCAGUUUACUCUUUUUUGUAUGUGUCAUUAGCUAUAAACACAUGUUGAUUUUUUAGUAUGUCUGGUCUCAUUUGUAAAAUUACACCUAUUUUACCUGCUGUGAGUUACAACUCCUUUGGCUGCUUCUUCUUCAUUAAGAGACAAGACAGCGUUUAAUGCUCCUCUGAAUUUAAAAGCUUCAUUGAUAACCAUCAACAAGAAAAUGUUAUAAAACAUGUUCAUUUCACCACCUCUAGAUCGAUUAAGAUAAUACAUAAGACUUCCCUUACCUCUUCUGGAAGCACUCGCAUUUGAAAAAUAGAGUUUUCCCAGCCAUGGAAUCUAGGACCUCUGAAGUCAUCACCUGGGUUACGUGUAUAUGGGACUUGAUUAGAUCUUGAGCUUUGAUGUGUGCAAAAUGAAAGAUAUAAAUUACAUCAAUUGAGACAUAAAACCAAUCUUUUUUUAGUACUAAUAUUGGAAAAAACGUGUUUCUUUCUUUCUUUUGAAUUUACAGGACUAAACGAGCUUAAAAGAACAAAAGAAACAAAUAAGCAGACAAAACCAACAUAAAUACAAGAAGAAGGAAUAACGUGACAUGCCCGACCCCUCAGCAGCAUCCCCAAAGCAAAAACAAGAAAACAGAACCUAACCACGAGGCCGUGCCCAGCUAGGCAUGGGGCGUGGUCAGCCCUGGCACAUCGGGACAAAAGCUGCAGAAGCUUCUACGCCCACCACGGGGCCGUGCCCAGCUCACCAUGGGGCGUGGUCAACUCUUAGAUUUGCAGAAUCUUGAUAGUACAGUGAAGAGUUGACCACGGGGCCGUGCCCAGAAGACACGGGGUUGUGUGGGGCCCUCUGCUGACAGAUGCAUUAAAUGAAGGAAAAGAAGAAGGAUGGCCACGGGCCGUGCCCACCGGAGACGGGGCCGUGGUCGGGGCUCUGUUCUGGCUAUAAAUAGGGGUGUUUGGUUCACUUCAAAGGCAUCCAUUGGCAAACCACUUCUCUCCCACUUUGCCACAAUUCCACCACCACUACAACACCAACACCCACCACCAUCAUCCAUCUUUCAUCUUUAGAGUGUGUAGUAGUCUCGGGAUCCAAAAUAGAUCAUAAGAGUUCUUGUCAAUUAAAGGCCUGACUGAAAUAACAAGAAGACAAAUGGAGAAGGUGGACAAAUGGCUAACGUAGCACAAGCUAAAGAUAGAGACUUAAAGAAAAUUGUGACACAAGAGAACAAAUGGGGAAGGUGAUUAUUAACGAUGAACUAUGGGUCAAAACUACAACUUUAAAGAGAGAGAAGAGACAGUGGAGGCGACUCAAGGGUCAACCCAUGAUAUUGUGUUGUGUCAUACAUAUGAUUCUAGCCCUCAAGGUUUGAUUCUUUGUGACCACAUGACUUGGUUACUUCCUAUCUCAAUACAUUUAAUUGUGAUCA